CCGGACCCCACUGCUAUCGAGGUGGGACUAAGCCAUGCUAGUCGAACGAACUUUAUGUUAGUGGCACACUGCUCAGUAACACGUAGCUAACCUACCCUUAGGACGAGGACAACCCCGAGAAAUUGGGGCUAAUCCGCGAUAGGUGUGAUGUCCUGGAAUGGUAUCACGCCCAAAGGUGUUCGCACGCCUAAGGAUGGGGCUGCGGCCGAUCAGGCAGUUGGUGAGGUAACGGCUCACCAAACCUUUGACCGGUACGGGCCAUGAGAGUGGUAGCCCGGAGAUGGACACUGAGACAAGGGUCCAGGCCCUACGGGGCGCAGCAGGCGCGAAACCUCCUCAAUGCACACACGUGCGAAGGGGUUACCUCGAGUGCCGCCUGAAGAAGGCGGCUUUUCCGUGGUCUAAAAAGCCUAGGGAAUAAGAGGGGGGCAAGACUGAUGUCAGCCGCCGCGGUAACACCAGCCCCUCGAGUGGUGGGGAUGAUUAUUUGGCCUAAAGCGUCCGUAGCCGGCCGGAUAAGUCUCCCGUUAAAUCCAGCGUCUCAAGCGUUGGACUGCGGGAGAUACUGUCUGGCUAGAGAGUGGGAGAGGUAUACGGUAUUCUGGGGGUAGGGGCGAAAUCCAUUGAUCCCCGGAGGACCACCAGUGGCGAAGGCUGUAUACUAGAACACGUCUGACGGUCAGGGACGAAAGCUGGGGUAGCGAACCGGAUUAGAUACCCGGGUAGUCCCAGCCGUAAACGAUGCACGCUAGGUGUUGGGUCUCAGUUUCCGACGAUUAUCCUCCACCGAAAGGCAUAUUAUCCACGUGUUACUGAGCCGUCCGCCGAGGGCCGAACUCUCUCGACUCGCAGGGCUUAAUCGAAUCCAAUAGCACUGACCUC
rnacentral:rRNA from 1 species